rnacentral:lncRNA from 1 species
AUUGGAUCCAUAGGGCAAGUGCAUAAAGAUUUAAAAAAAAAAAAAAGUGGGAAGAGACAGUGACACCAGGAGAGGUCCAAGGACAAAACCUUGGGGAAACGUGACACGUAGAAGUUAGGCAGAGAAAUAAAUCAGAAAGGGAAAGUGAAUAGUGACCAGAGGGAAAGGAGACCUGGAGAGAGCUGGUGGGGGGGGGGGNUCCCAGAGAUGUCAGGAAACAAUGUUUAGGAAGCAGGAGGGGAGUGCUCAAUUGUGUCAGAGUCUAAGACGAUUUCUAUCAUACCCACCAAGAGUUUCAUAGUGAAGUGAACCUGACUUUGCCUCCGAGCUUUGGGUAGGAGUAGCAACUGACACAACCUCUCCAAGAUUCCGAUCCAACUUCCUUUAAUUGGAGAAGAGCACUUAUCUCUUUCUCACAGGGCUAAAAUGCUUCACCUGGUGCUGACUGCAGAAAGCCCUCACCAAUGAUACCACCACCACUAUCAGGGAAAAUGAGAGAUGUGAUACACAAUUGUUCAAAAUACAGAGAUGCCUACUCUGAAAAAAUAAAGUCAUAAGAUUCUGCAGCAUUUAAUACUUUAAAGACAGAAGAUUGUGUGACUUCAAAAACAGUGAAAUUAUAGAUACCUGGAAAUGAGCAGCCUUUGUGUUGGAAGACAGGUAACUGGAAAUCAGAAGCUUUACGUACGGCUGGGUGAGGGACUUUAAAAUGAACAAAAACGAUGUUCAAACAAAGGGAUCUUGAGGACGCCUGUAUAAACAACAUCUUUACUUUAUGGAGAGGCCGAAUGUCUUAUGCAGAUCCCAUGUUCCCAACAUGCUGGUUACCCAUGUACAUGAUGAGGUUAACAGCCAGAGGAAGGGGAAUUGCCAGUGGGCAGUGUUAGGACACCCGUUAAAGAGAGGAGAAGGGGCUACUACUCCCGUGACUUCAUUUCAUCACCAGAUUUCUCAGAAGAGUAAUUUCCAGUCACUUCUUGUCCUUGGAUCCAGUGUUCAGCCUAAAGAUCUUUUACCUUCCACUAAGUUCACUGUGCAUGGGAUCCGAAAGGUGUGUAGGAUUAAGAAAAAGGCUUUCAGUUGCUUCACCACAAAAUAAUACAUUUCAAGAAGAAAUAAGCUCUGCUCCCAGUCAUGGAACGUUCCUGUUCUGAACUAGGCAUACCUCACCCCAUAUUUUGUACAAAUGUUCCACUGAAGUCUCAGGAAGGCUCUCAUAGCCCCAGUGGGCGCCAGAUUAAUGAAAAGAAAUGUAUUCAAAUUUCUCUCCUUUUCUUUUUCAUUGUGAAACAUUUCAAGCAUACAGAAAAUAUAUCAACAAAUGAAAGAAGUACCCAAAUGCUUACAAUCCAGCUGUAUCCAAUCUUAAUGUUGUCCCAUAUUUUUUUUUUCAAGGAAAUAACAUGUUGGAUAUAGAUGAAGCCCUCUGUGUGUGUUUACCAGAUCCCAUUCCCCUUGCUUCACCUCCAACAAUCUGGUUCCUGAAUUUGGUGACUAUUUUAGUUUCUAUGUUUCAUGUG